CACGCGCGCACGGGCGGGGGAGAAAGGAAGAGGGGCGGACAGAGAAGAUGACAAGUUCAAUGGGUUAACAAGAAAUGUGUGCAACGGAGAGAGACACGGGUACUCAUCAUGCACAGCGGCUGUGAGAGAUGCACAGACAGACGCGGGCACCGUGAGAAGCAGAGGAAGAGUCAGGGCCAGUGCCGCGUAGGCCUUGUGCCACACAGUGCCAGCUGCCACCGGGGGUCCCCUUGUCAAGACUACAGUAGGGCGAUGGCAUG